CCGCACUUCUCUCGACCUCUAGUAGCCAUGGAGUCCUUGUAUUGUUGUUUUCUCUCUAAAGCUUGAAGACUUACAGCUUCCUCCAUGAAAGACGGUCACUAAAGCUUCACUUGGGUCUCUUUCCGGCUUUUUGCCAAUGGUUUUUGUCCGAUGAUGCCUUCUAUGGCAUUAUAUGCGACUUUCACGGCCAGGAUUCUCAUUUUUCUAAUUUAUUUUGCAAACCCUAAUUUUUCAGCUGAAUCUCUUUGGUCUCUGUCUUUUAAACGAUUUCAUUUGGUUUAAACUUUGUCUUCUUCACUUCCUAUUACCUGAUCUUUGAUUAUUCGAGUUUUAAACGUUUUGGUUCCUUUUCUGAAACUAGGGUUUCUUACCCCUUUCGAAAACACUUUACUUUUCUGAUUUUGAGUACAAAUCUGUAACCCUCAGUACUACUUCUAAACAUUUUGUUAAAAUCUGAUGAAAAUCCUAACCCUACAUGUUUGUAUCUGUAUUUGCUUGUUUGCAUGAUCCUUCUGGGUUCUUCUUUGAGUUUCGUGUUCUUUGUUUUAAUUUUGUUGCUAGUAGUUCAUUUUCCUUACCAUGUUGUGUUCUUCUCUUAAGGUUUCUGGCUGUUUAUAUGGUGAUUUUAUACUGAUGCUUAAAAUCUCUCUUCAAGACCAUGAUUACUGGCCUUAAAUUGUGAUUUUGUGUAUUCUCCUUAUAGUUUGGUAUUAAUUUCGAAUUUCUUCAUCAAUCAGUGGGAUACAUUCCUCAAUUAAUAACCGAUCUCCUAGGUUUUCAAUCUCGCUCAUUAAUUCAAAAUUUAUUUUCCAGAAUUAAAGUGGCAUUUUUUCUUAUAUAUCUGCACAAGUAUAUUCAUUUAUUUGCUUGACAUGUUUCCCUGGUUAAGUAUCAUGCACCUAGUCUUCAUUGUAUACCAUAUACUAUUUUUGUUUUCUUAUGUGACCGUGCCAUACUUUGUGAUUCCUUUCCUUUUAAAAUGACUACUUAUUACCGUU
rnacentral:lncRNA from 1 species